ACGAACGCUGGCGGCGUGCUUAACACAUGCAAGUCGAACGGAAAGGCCCUGCUUUUGUGGGGUGCUCGAGUGGCGAACGGGUGAGUAACACGUGAGUAACCUGCCCUUGACUUUGGGAUAACUUCAGGAAACUGGGGCUAAUACCGGAUAGGAGCUCCUGCUGCCUGGUGGGGGUUGGAAAGUUUCGGCGGUUGGGGAUGGACUCGCGGCUUAUCAGCUUGUUGGUGGGGUAGUGGCUUACCAAGGCUUUGACGGGUAGCCGGCCUGAGAGGGUGACCGGCCACAUUGGGACUGAGAUACGGCCCAGACUCCUACGGGAGGCAGCAGUGGGGAAUUGUGCACAAUGGGCGGAAGCCUGAUGCAGCAACGCCGCGUGCGGGAUGACGGCCUUCGGGUUGUAAACCGCUUUCGCCUGUGACGAAGCGUGAGUGACGGUAAUGGGUAAAGAAGCACCGGCUAACUACGUG
rnacentral:rRNA from 1 species